rnacentral:rRNA from 1 species
CAGGCUGUCUCCACCCGAGACUCAGUGAAAUUGAACUCGCUGUGAAGAUGCAGUGUACCCGCGGCAAGACGGAAAGACCCCGUGAACCUUUACUAUAGCUUGACACUGAACAUUGAGCCUUGAUGUGUAGGAUAGGUGGGAGGCUUUGAAGUGUGGACGCCAGUCUGCAUGGAGCCGACCUUGAAAUACCACCCUUUAAUGUUUGAUGUUCUAACGUGGACCCGUGAUCCGGGUUGCGGACAGUGUCUGGUGGGUAGUUUGACUGGGGCGGUCUCCUCCUAAAGAGUAACGGAGGAGCACGAAGGUUGGCUAAUCCUGGUCGGACAUCAGGAGGUUAGUGCAAUGGCAUAAGCCAGCUUGACUGCGAGCGUGACGGCGCGAGCAGGUGCGAAAGCAGGUCAUAGUGAUCCGGUGGUUCUGAAUGGAAGGGCCAUCGCUCAACGGAUAAAAGGUACUCCGGGGAUAACAGGCUGAUACCGCCCAAGAGUUCAUAUCGACGGCGGUGUUUGGCACCUCGAUGUCGGCUCAUCACAUCCUGGGGCUGAAGUAGGUCCCAAGGGUAUGGCUGUUCGCCAUUUAAAGUGGUACGCGAGCUGGGUUUAGAACGUCGUGAGACAGUUCGGUCCCUAUCUGCCGUGGGCGCUGGAGAACUGAGGGGGGCUGCUCCUAGUACGAGAGGACCGGAGUGGACGCAUCACUGGUGUUCGGGUUGUCAUGCCAAUGGCACUGCCCGGUAGCUAAAUGCGGAAGAGAUAAGUGCUGAAAGCAUCUAAGCACGAAACUUGCCCCGA